CCUUGCCCCAGACUGUCCUUAAGUAGGUGGAGUCUGCUAGGGAGUGCCUUGCCUGGAAGGGCAAAGGGCUCUGUCUUCUUAGUCACGACCAGCUGACAAGAGUCUCAGUCACCAGGCCACCUUUGUAGGGACAUUGAAAGAACCCAGAAUUCCGAGCGGCUGGAGCACUGGGGGACACCCGGGCAGAGCCUUCCCUGGAACAAGCCCUGCUGGAGCGGGAUGAAGCCAUUGCUAAGAAACGCGCAGUGGAAGCUGAGCUGGACUCCUGCAGAGAGAGAUUGCGCACAGUGGAGGCUCAGCUGCUGGAAGCCCUGCAGGAGAAACUGAGGCUGAAGCAGGAAGUGGAGGCCUGGGAGGAAGACAUGCAGCAGGUGAUUCGAGAGAGAGUACAGAGUCAACUGCAGGGAGAGUCCAGGGGCGCUCUGGGGACCCAAGCGAACACAAGCGCCGGCAGGAACUCCCGGAUGCACCUCUCGCGGAGUCAGUGGGGACGAUGGUGGUGAAAAUGGAUCCCAGAACUUUAAGAGAACUGCCUUUAUUCAUUAAAGGGUUGGACGACCUCUGUA